rnacentral:rRNA from 1 species
GAUGAACGCUGGCGGCGUGCCUAAUACAUGCAAGUCGAGCGAACAGAUGAGGAGCUUGCUCCUCUGACGUUAGCGGCGGACGGGUGAGUAACACGUGGAUAACCUACCUAUAAGACUGGGAUAACUUCGGGAAACCGGAGCUAAUACCGGAUAAUAUAUUGAACCGCAUGGUUCAAUAGUGAAAGACGGUUUUGCUGUCACUUAUAGAUGGAUCCGCGCCGCAUUAGCUAGUUGGUAAGGUAACGGCUUACCAAGGCAACGAUGCGUAGCCGACCUGAGAGGGUGAUCGGCCACACUGGAAGUGAGACACGGUCCAGGCUCCUACGGGAGGCAGCAGUAGGGAAUCGUCCGCAAUGGGCGAAAGCCUGACGGAGCAACGCCGCGUGAGUGAUGAAGGUCUUCGGAUCGUAAAACUCUGUUAUUAGGGAAGAACAAAUGUGUAAGUAACUAUGCACGUCUUGACGGUACCUAAUCAGAAAGCCACGGCUAACUACGUG